CAGCUAACAAUGCAGUCGAUUUAUGCUUUCGGGCAUAGUGGCGCACGGGUGCGUAACGCGUGGGAAUCUGCCCUUGGGUCUGGGAUAACAGUUGGAAACGACUGCUAAUACCGGAUGAUAUCGCGAGAUCAAAGAUUUAUCGCCCGAGGAUGAGCCCGCGUAGGAUUAGCUAGUUGGUGGGGUAAAGGCCUACCAAGGCGACGAUCCUUAGCUGGUCUGAGAGGAUGAUCAGCCACACUGGGACUGAGACACGGCCCAGACUCCUACGGGAGGCAGCAGUGGGGAAUAUUGGACAAUGGGCGCAAGCCUGAUCCAGCAAUGCCGCGUGAGUGAUGAAGGCCUUAGGGUUGUAAAGCUCUUUUACCCGGGAUGAUAAUGACAGUACCGGGAGAAUAAGCCCCGGCUAACUCCGUUGCCAGCAGCCGCGGUAAUACGGCAGGGGGCUAGCGUUGUCGGAAUUACUGGGCGUAAAGCGCACGUAGGCGGUUUGUAAGUCAGGGUGAAAGCC
rnacentral:rRNA from 1 species